CAAUAGCGUAUAUUUAAGUUGUUGCAGUUAAAAAGCUCGUAGUCGGAUUUUGGCUGAGAACGAACGGUCCGCCGUUAGGUGUGCACUGUUUGGUCUCAGCUUCCUGGUGAGGAGGUGUGCUUCACGGCCACUUAGUCACCGUGGUUACUUUGAAAAAAUUAGAGUGUUCAAAGCGGGCUUACGCUUGAAUAUAUUAGCAUGGAAUAACACCAUAGGACUCCUGUCCUAUUUCGUCGGUCUCGGGACGGGAGUAAUGAUUAAGAGGAACAGUUGGGGGCAUUCGUAUUUCAUUGUCAGAGGUGAAAUUCUUGGAUUUAUGAAAGACGAACUUCUGCGAAAGCAUUUGCCAAGGAUGUUUUCAUUGA
rnacentral:rRNA from 1 species